rnacentral:lncRNA from 1 species
CCUCCUGAACCUGACUGAGCUGACCAUAGAGAAUGACAUUCCUUGCCUUCAAUAGCCUUAUCUCUUCCACUGUUCUAAGCAUUCAUCAGCUGAGGGAUAGUAGAAUGGCUGCCAACCCCUCCAUUUCUAUCAAUGUACUCACACUCUUUUAGGGUGGUCUUGGAGAAGGUUUACUUGCAAUUUCCCACCUUAGCUUUUUUCCAAAGGGACUUGAAAAAUUCAAAAACAUUAGUGAGGAGGAACCCGUAAGGCAGCCCAUGAUUGUCAUCCUUGAACCUUCUUCAUGUGUUCUAUCAUAAGACCAAGCAGGUUUAUAGUGGUGUAGCCAUCCAAUGCUUCCAUGAGAACCAGGUCUGCUCGUGAUGUAAUGGACCGUCUUUCUACGCGUCGGAGCAAAAAUUUUUCACCAAUUCAAACAGUAGUUUGUACACUGGAAGGAAGGCCAUCUUGUGUACCCAUUCCCCUUGCUGUAUUGCCUUAUCUUUCACAAUGACAUUUCGGAAGUUAGAAGAGCAGGUUCCUUCAAUGGUGGACAUUCCCCUAGUAGGCACGUCCAAAAUGAUUUCCAAUACAGUAGUGUCUAUCACAAAAUCAACACUAUUCACUUUCAGAUAGAUGUUAUCAUCCUCAAUUGUGAAGAAGUCGGCAUGGAAACCACGCACUUCUGCCUUGGUACUGUCACUAGUGAACAAAUAUGUCCAAUAGUGGUAUUCAUAGAUGUCAUCCAAUUAGCACAUUCCUGACAUAUCAAGAAUAACUGGGGCAAAUUUGCGGCCCUACAACACCUUUUGAUUUCUUAAAUUCUCUCAUUCCUCAUUCCUGAUCACAUUCACUCUUGUCUUCUUGGAGGAACCAGUUUCUUUAGUAGCUCCAUCUUUUUGCUUUGCUGAUCUUCUCACACUCUUUCCUUUGCCUGCUGAUUUCUUGGACACCUUCAGCAGACUCAUUAGCCACUCCUUCACUAGAUUUUUCAAUCACUCUUUCACCAGAUUUUUACCCUCAACGUUGCUUAAAUCCAUCUCAUUCACAUAUGACUCCUUUUUGGAAUUUGGAACAGUAAGUUUCUUUGAGGACUUACGAACCAAGGAAUUAGGUUCCUCUUCCAC